rnacentral:rRNA from 1 species
UACGUAGGGUGCGAGCGUUAAUCGGAAUUACUGGGCGUAAAGCGCACGUAGGCGGCUUUGUAAGUUAGAGGUGAAAGCCCGGGGCUCAACCCCGGAAUUGCCUUUAAGACUGCAUCGCUUGAAUCCAGGAGAGGUGAGUGGAAUUCCGAGUGUAGAGGUGAAAUUCGUAGAUAUUCGGAAGAACACCAGUGGCGAAGGCGGCUCACUGGACUGGUAUUGACGCUGAGGUGCGAAAGCGUGGGGAGCAAACAGG